UACGGAGGGGGCUAGCGUUGUUCGGAAUUACUGGGCGUAAAGCGCACGUAGGCGGCUUUGUAAGUUAGAGGUGAAAGCCCGGGGCUCAACUCCGGAACUGCCUUUAAGACUGCAUCGCUAGAAUUGUGGAGAGGUGAGUGGAAUUCCGAGUGUAGAGGUGAAAUUCGUAGAUAUUCGGAAGAACACCAGUGGCGAAGGCGACUCACUGGACACAUAUUGACGCUGAGGUACGAAAGCGUGGGGAGCAAACAGG
rnacentral:rRNA from 1 species